UAAAUACCAGGGGGAAGGGGGGGGGGAGAGUGUUGGUUUUUUUGUCUGGGGUGUAACCUGGCUGCGGCAGAGCAUCCUCCUCUGCGGUUCCUUGGAGUUUAUCCUAGCUGAGGCAGGAAGACACCCUCCAACAGUUUAGAUCUCCCUACCUCCCAGAGGAAUGUUUAUACCUGGAUCCCCUUGAGGGAGCAGUCCCAAGGCACAAUGUUACGUUUUUUGCGACGUUGAAGGAGGGACAUUUCUGCACCAGUUUCUAGAAGCCAACCAUUUGCUGGGUCAAAUACCAGGGUGAUGGCAGAGAUAUUGCACAGCACAAUGUACGAGCAGAGAAAUGUCCUGAGAUUGUUCUUCAUGCAUUUCUGGAAGGGUGGGGGAGUUUAGUUAUUUUUGUGUUGGGGUGGUACAAAGGCCAUAUGGACAAAAACAAGACUUUGCAAGUUUGGCCUUGUGAAUUGGUGGUUUGGACUAUUGCCUAUGGACAGAGGGAUGGACUCUGCGGGCAGGAGGGUGUAUGGGUGGGUUUGUUGCUUUUUUGAUUUUCUGAUAUGUUAACGUUUUGAAUUAAUGUAAGUGUAUUUUUAUACUAAAAAUCCCUAGAUAACAUUUUACUAGGAGUAUGAAUACUAGUACGUAUAUAUUUUAUUACUUCCUAAAAGGCAUUUACACCUUCGUAGAAUUCAAGAAUAGAAGAAACUUACUUAAAGCUGAUUUCUCAGUCAGCCCUACCUGUCAAUGCAGGACGACUGGGGUUAAAUUAAUCCUCUCUGGAAGCAGGACAAACUAAAAAAGUUUCUUCCAAUCGUCUCCUUCCCUUCUGGCACCUUCUCCUCAGUUUUUUAGUUUGUCCUGCUUGGAGGCAGCAACUUUUCCCUCUGAGGAUUUUUUUCUUUUUAUUUAAUUUCUUUCUUUUAUUUUCUUAUUUUCCUUUUUAUAUACACAAGAUACUACAGUCUUCAAGGAUUGUCAGGGCUCUCCCUGACUUACAGUGGCAAUUCAUGGUCCGAUUACGACCAGGCCUGAGGUAGAGCCCAGAUGGUGUGCUCCCCUUUGGUAGAGCCCCUCGCGGUGCGCUCCCUCUCUGGUGAUUAACCAAGCUUGGUAGAGCCCGUUUCAUGCGCUCCCAAUGUCACACCAUAGUGCAGAGCUCCCCGGUUAUACCUGGUUGAGCCCACACUUUACUGUGCCUGCCUGCACAGCCAGGAGAGCUCCCAAGUAGGUUUCAGAUUGAGCCCAUUCAUUGGCAGAACGUCAAGAUGUUGCACACUCAGCACCAUUAGUACUGUGCCUAUCUGCGCAACUAAGUAACAGCCGCAUCAUCAGCAAGUGCCGACGGGUUGAGUAAGCGCUGGUGACGUCACAUACCCUGCGCCAGUCUAACAUUUCCCGGGCUCAGUCAGCCGGAUACGCGUCAUUGCAGAGAUGCCUGACCUUAUAGUGUACCGCAUGUACACAUUCUCCUGCGCACUCUUAUCGUGCGUAUGAAAACUGCACAAUCUAGCAGAUCCACAGGUAUUGUCAAGGCAGCAUAAUACGCAUAAGGUAACAAGAUUACCAACGUAUACUCUACUUUUUACACCAAAGAUAGGACGCUAUUGAUAUGGCUAAUCCUAAUGAGGAGCUAUUUUCCCUUAUAGAGGGGAUUGAUCUCCCAGAUAAGCCACAGAAACUAAAGGCCAAAUGUAAAACAAUUACCAAAGGCUCUACUAAACGUAGAGAACAUUCUCCAUCACCUCCACCAAAUGAUGAUAGUACUGAGGGCAACAGACACAUGACUACUUGAGCACUAGUAAACGCUCCUCAGGAUCCACAACCUCAACCACCGGUAGACUAAUCCACCUCAAUCAUCUACUGAUUUAAUAUCCUGGAUUCAAUCAACAAUCCAGACCUCUGUUAGACAGGCAGUUUCUUCUCAUUCACUACCAGAAUCAGGUAAAAUGAAGUGUAAACGCUCACCCACAUUACAACAAGAUUCAGACUCAAACUCCUAUCAUUCUUCAGAAGACUUAAGUGGCAUACACUCUGAAGAUGAAUUCUCAUCAGACUGCCAGUCCUCCGAUUUGGAUGACAAUUUUCGACAACCAGAGGAUAUUAAGACUAUCCUUAAAGACAUAUUCACUACAUUAGAGAUCAAAGAGGAGCAGACUGCAUUAUCUAAGGCUGAUAAGUUGUUAGGUAACACUUCCAAGAAAGCUAGGUCAUUUCCAGUUCCCAAAUCUCUUGCCAAUUAUGUGCACAUAUAAUGGCAGCAACCAGAGAAAAAAUCAAAUAUUCCACAAAUUUUUUUUUUUAAUACAUAUCCUAUUCCAGAUGAAUACAAACAUUGGGAUAAAAUUCCCAAAGUAAAUCCACCUAUUGUCAGACUGCCUCGGAAUACUACAUUACCAGCUGAAGACACUGGUACGCUUAAGGAUCUGAUGGACAAUCCACUUCCACAGCCUAUUACAGAAUAUGGAAACUUUUUAUUGACCGGUGCACAGAGCACAAUGUUCAUUGGCAAUUAUGCCUUUCUUUCCAUGUUCUAGAAUUCCUUCAGGGUGGCUUAGACAAAGGCCGCAGUACUUCGGCCCUUAAGGUUCAGGUGUUGGCCCUAUCAGCCCUUAAUCACAAACAAUGGGCCACCAUACCAGAAUUUAAACUGUUCUUUCAAGCACUAGCCAGGAUUCGGCCUCCGAAACGAGAUCCAGCCCCACCCUGGGACCUUAAUCUAGUACUUAGAGCUCUCCAGAGACCACCGUUUGAACCACUGGGCUCAGUGGACCUGAAAUUUUUGUCCUGGAAGGUGAUAUUCUUCUUGCCAUAUGCUCAGCCAGACGAGUAUCUGAUUUGGCAGCCUUGUCUCAUCAGCAGCCUUGGACUAUAUUCCACCAAGACAAGGUAGUCCUCCGCACAGUUCCAUCUCAUCUUCCCAAAGUCACUUCAGAAUUUAAUAUUACCCAGGAGAUAAUACUUCCGUCUUUUUGUCCUAAGCCAGAUAAUGACAAGGAACGACAAUUACAUACCUUAGAUGCAGUAAGGGCACUAAAAUUCUAUAUCCAUAGGACUGCCGAAUUUAGAAAGUCAGAGUUGUUUGGUGCUAACAAAAGAGGUCUUCCAGCUUCAAAACGCACUUAAGCUAGAUGGAUAGUGUCAGCUGUACAAGAAUCAUACAAGACGAUGGGUUAAGAGGGCCCUCUGCAAGUUAAGGCACAUUCCACUAGAAAGAUCAGUGCAUCAUGGGCGAAUAAUAACCAGGCUUCCGUUGAAGCUGUAUGCAAGGCAGCAACUUCGAGCUCCUUGCACACGUUUUCAAAGUUCUAUAAACUAGAUGUGUUGGCCUCUUCAGCAGCGGCCUUUGGCAGGAAGGUGCUACAAGCAGCAGCAGCACAUAGAUAGUUCCUGCUUAGUUUCAGUAUAUUUAUACUUUUAUAUCGUUAAAGUUUUUAUUCAGUUAUUGCCCACCCUUUUGGACGGCUAUGGGACAUCCCCAGUCGUCCUUCACUGACAGGUAGGACCGACUGAGAAAGCGAGAUUUUCUUACCUGAAAAAUCCUUUUCUCAUAGGCCCGUACUGUCAGUGCAGCAUUCCUCCCAUGGGGUGCCGGUUUUUGCUGCUCGGCAUUUAGAUAGUUAGGUAGUGAGGUUCUUCUGUCUCCACUGGCAGGCUUGGAUACUAAACUGAGGAGAAGGUGGAGCCAGAAGGGAAGGAGACGAUUGGAAGAAACUUUUUCAGUUUGCCCUGCCUCCAUAGAUGAUUAACUUAACCCCAGUCAUCCUGCACUGACAGUACGGGCCUAUGAGAAAAUGAUUUUUCAGGUAAAAUCUCCCUUUUGCUCUUCCAGAGUCAGUAGCUUAUUACCUGCGUAUAGGGCCAAACUAACUAACAUUGUGUAUAAUGGGAUUUGGUCUUGCAAGCAAAAGAAUACUUAAAGCGUACCUGUCACCUACACAUAAAAAGCUGUAUAAUUAAUGUCCUUUGCAAAUUAAACAUGGAACCUGAAUUA